CUGAAUACAGUUCCAAAGUUUAACAUUCAAGUUUUAUCUUGUCAGAAUUAAUCUAAAUCAGUUUAAACUGGUAUACCAAUUACACGUUUUAACUACCUUUUUAAGGCCAGGUAUGGUAAAGAUAAGAAGCAAUAUGUCGUAAGCAAAAACUAGAGAAAUAGUGAAAGAUACACCAAAUAUUUUGAAGUUCUUACGGUCAUAUCGCAGAGCACCGCGGAAGAGCAUUUAACCAAGGAGUUGACACCUCCUUCCUUACCAAUGUCGCUUGGACAUGGACUAGAGCCUGAUUCGAACUUUGGACCUCUUGGUUACCAGGCUACACAAACUUUCUUCAAAACACUUUUGAAAUAUAAUAAGUUUAGGAAGGUUAUAUUUUAUAGUUAUAGCAAUAGUAGAUUAAA